AUGUCCGAGUUCUGCGAUGGAAAGAGGAAAGCCGUCACCGAGAUCGGAUUCGGCGGAGUUCUACGCAUGCCGAUGAACGGCAAUGCCAACCUCAGGCGCACCGUGUCACUUCUCAGCAGAGUUGAUCUGAACUCCAGGUCCCUGCCCAUCGGGAAAGAUGUCAGGGUCCAAAUGAGCCCAAAGCACAUAGAGAGGCUGAUAGGCACGCCCUCGAGAGGACGACGAGUCUGUGGGCUGGAUCCGGACACUCCGGAAGAGAGGAUGGACUUUGUGAGGCUCGCCAUGGGCUCACAGCGGUUCUGCGACGACGGGCUGAAGGUCGCCGAGCUCGUCGUCCGGCGGGAGUGGGACGGGCCGGUCAUCGCCGAGAGGGUGGAGGAGUUCAAAGUGGCGUUUGUCGUCUCGAUCGUCGGGCGUUUUCUUGCUCCGUCCGCGAAGCGUGGUGAUCAUGGGUGCUCGGACUUCUGGGGCUCGCUCUACAAGGCAGAUGAGAUCAGAGAAUACAACUGGAGCGCGUAUUUCCUUGCACACAUCAUGGACGCUGCAGGAAGGGUUUAG
rnacentral:rRNA from 1 species